rnacentral:rRNA from 1 species
GAGGGGGGUGACGUAUCCGGAUAUUGGGCGUAAGCGCGCGCAGGCGGUCUCUUAAGUCUGAUGUGAAAGCCCACGGCUCCCCGUGGAGGGUCAUUGGAAACUGGGAGACUUGAGUGCAGGAGAGAAAAGUGGAAUUCCACGUGUAGCGGUGAAAUGCGUAGAGAUGUGGAGGAACACCAGUGGCGAAGGCGGCUUUUUGGCCUGUAACUGACGCUGAGGCGCGAAAGCGUGGGGAGCAAACAGGAUUAGAUACCCUGGUAGUCCACGCCGUAAACGAUGAGUGCUAGGUGUUGGGGGGUUCCACCCUCAGUGCUGAAGUUAACACAUUAAGCACUCCGCCUGGGGAGUACGACCGCAAGGUUGAAACUCAAAGGAAUUGACGGGGGCCCGCACAAGCAGUGGAGCAUGUGGUUUAAUUCGAAGCAACGCGAAGAACCUUACCAGGUCUUGACAUCCUCUGACCACUCUAGAGAUAGAGCUUUCCCCUUCGGGGGACAGAGUGACAGGUGGUGCAUGGUUGUCGUCAGCUCGUGUCGUGAGAUGUUGGGUUAAGUCCCGCAACGAGCGCAACCCUUGACCUUAGUUGCCAGCAUUCAGUUGGGCACUCUAAGGUGACUGCCGGUGACAAACCGGAGGAAGGUGGGGAUGACGUCAAAUCAUCAUGCCCCUUAUGACCUGGGCUACACACGUGCUACAAUGGAUGGUACAAA